rnacentral:rRNA from 1 species
GACGAACGCUGGCGGCGUGCCUAAUACAUGCAAGUAGGACGCAGUUGCGAACGGGUGAGUAAAGCGUAGGUAACUACCUAUUAGAGGGGGAUAACUAUUGGAAACGAUAGCUAUUACCCCCUACUCGCAGAUGGACCUGCGUUGUAUUAGCUAGUAGGUAGGGUAAUGGCCUACCUAGGCAACGAUACAUAGCCGACCUGAGAGGGUGAUCGGCCACACUGGGAAUGAGACACGGCCCAGACUCCUACGGGAGGCAGCAGUAGGGAAUCGUCGGCAAUGGGCGCAAGCCGGAUGCAGCCAUGCCGCGUGUAUGAAGAAGGCUUUCGGGUUGUAAAGUACUUUCAGCGAGGAGGCGUUACUCGCAGAAGAAGCACCGGCUAACUCCGUGCCAGCAGCCGCGGUAAUAC